rnacentral:rRNA from 1 species
UACGAACUGUGCGAACGUUAUUCGGAAUCACUGGGCUUACAGGGUGCGUAGGCGGCUCAACAAGUCAGGUGUGAAAUCCCCCGGCCCAACCGGGGAAUGGCGCUCUAAACUAGCAGGCUUGAGUGAGCUAGGGGUACACGGAACUUCCAGUGGAGCGGUGAAAUGUGUUGAUAUUGGAAGGAACACCGGAGGCGAAAGCGGUGUACUGGGGCUUAACUGACGCUGAGGCACGAAAGCCAGGGGAGCGAACGGG